UACAGAGGUCUCAAGCGUUGUUCGGAUUCAUUGGGCGUAAAGGGUGCGUAGGCGGCGGGGCAAGUCUGAUGUGAAAUCCUGGGGCUCAACCCUGGAACUGCAUUGGAUACUGCCUUGCUAGAGUACUGGAGAGGAAACUGGAAUUUACGGUGUAGCAGUGAAAUGCGCAGAUAUCAGGAGGAACACCGGUGGCGAAGGCGGGCUACUGGGCUGAUACUGACGCUGAUGCGCGAAAGCCAGGGGAGCGAACGGG
rnacentral:rRNA from 1 species